GCUAGUAUUAAAUAUGUGUGUCAGCAGAAAUGAAGGGUUGCCACUGAUAUACCCUUAAGCCUCCCAACUCCAGGGAAAUCAGAAAACAUGUAUGUUGUAAUUAAGUGAUAGGUCCACACUAAGUAUUUUUGAGCCACUUGCAGAAGAUGGACUUGUGAAAUUAUUUUGUGAUGUCUGGACCCUCACUCAAAAUAUCCAAUUAUGAGGUUACUUUAAAAGGUGGGUGAGUAAGAAUUUUUUUUAAUUUAUUUUUUUAACUGGGAUGGCUUGUGUGAGUUGGGAUUAGGAUUGCGUGUUAAAGAUUUUGGGUGGAAUCAUGCCCAAUCCUGAAUGAUAUAGAUCAGGGUUUGGCAACCUUUGGCUCUCCAAAUGUUGUCGGCUACAUCUCUGAUAAUG